rnacentral:piRNA from 1 species
UGAAUCCAGCACAGAACGCCCGUUCUU